GUGGAUGAAUUGGUUCAAUUGGCUUGAUUUCUUUAAAUACCUUCUUACCAACUGGCAUCAUAAGCUGAACCUGACUGGUACAAGUAGCACUGGACUAAAAUGUAAGAAACCAAAUUUAUCUCCGUCUCUAAAACUGGAUGGAUUUGAUCAUAUAUUCCUGGAUAGGAUUUGGACCUGUUGGUCUUGUAACGUCCCUCUAAAUUACAUUUGUUGUGAAAUGGUGCUCUAAAUGAUAGGAUUAAAAACAAGACAGCAGGAGUAAUAACAUCACCCGUUCCAGCAAUAUGGUGGUGGAACAGCUUGAAAGAGCCAAGCCCUUGUGAGAAGAGCUAAGCUCUUACAAGCUGCUGCUCAGAGCUGUGGCUUCCUUCCUGAAAACGGUGUGAAAAUGAGUUUUCCUGAACACCACGGAGCAGGAAAGACUCCAGGAAAAGAAGGCAGAAGACAAUCAAUCAGCCACGAGUUCAGACAACCUCAACGUUUUCCCACAGUUUCUGUGUAGAGCUCUGGCAUGACAUGGAGAGAAAAAAAAAAAGACAGAUUUGUGUCACUCAGGAUCCCCAUCUACUUCUCGGAACACCUCAUCAUCCUCCUGGGCCGUGGUGCACCGGUAGCCCCUCCUCUUCAGCACGUGGCAGAUCAACAUCCCAACCAGACCCAGAAGGAAAAAAGUCAGCACUAAUGCAAAG